rnacentral:lncRNA from 12 species
CACUCACCCAAAUAAUCUGCCCUUGGACCCGGUUCUCCAGCUGCUUGACGCCAAGCCAUAUUCUCGCUCAGGGAUUUAUUUUCCCUGGCCCUGCUGGGAUACUAAAACCAACUUUCCGACUCAGCCAUAGCCUCAGCCUCCAGCCCCUGGACAAUAGCAAUACUGUGUGAUGACUACCAAGGACAGACUAAGAGGGAUGACUGUUUUAACAGCACUUUAUGACUCCUCAAGCUGGACUGGAAACAUCACCACAAGGAGAAAAAGAGAUACUGGAAAUUGGAGAGAUUUGCUGUUGCAGAGGCACAGUUUCUACUGAGCUCCACAUGACAUGAGACAAUACAAGAAGAAGGAAUUCAGCUAAGGAAAUAUUCAUUGUUUAUAUGACCCCUUGUGAUGAGAAUGGAGUAACUAACAUUCAUGAGAAUUGCCAAAUGAGGGCCCUUCCAAAAGGAAAGAUGUGAGAAAAACUGUUUUCGAACCUAGACGGGAAAGGAGAAGAUAAAACUGGGAGUUCAAGCCCCCUGAAAAUUUAAAUUUUGUAAGAUAAGUAGGUGUGUGAAGAAGCUAAAAGUAAUUUUAUUUCUUUUGUUACACAUUUGAUUUGUGUUAAGAACAAUUGGUACUCUCACAUAAUUAAAGCAGUUCUGACAUUUUGGUGUGUUUCAUUGUUGGGCUAUGCACAGAAUGUUCCUACUGUCUUUGUUAAUGUAUUUUGAAUAAAGAUGGGUUUUAUAUUCA